UACCGAGGGCGCUAGCGUUGUUCGGAAUUACUGGGCGUAAAGCGCGCGUAGGCGGCUUUGUAAGUUAGAGGUGAAAGCCCGGGGCUCAACUCCGGAAUUGCCUUUAAGACUGCAUCGCUAGAAUUGUGGAGAGGUAAGUGGAAUUCCGAGUGUAGAGGUGAAAUUCGUAGAUAUUCGGAAGAACACCAGUGGCGAAGGCGACUUACUGGACACAUAUUGACGCUGAGGUGCGAAAGCGUGGGGAGCAAACAGG
rnacentral:rRNA from 1 species